rnacentral:lncRNA from 10 species
GUUAUUAGCAUAAUGUAUGCAAAUAGCUGGAGCGGCCACCGUGAUUGGAGAGGAGCCUGGCGACCCCUCCCCCUGCGCGGAGUAACUUCAGCAUCUCCGAGGGCCACCUCUCUGGCCUGGGCCGGGGCCGAAGCGGGGUCGGCUGCGCAAGAGGCGGCAACUUUGGCUUAUACUGACUCAGCCCAGCGCCCCCUUUUUAUCCCACAUAAAAAUGGAGAAAUGGCCUCCGGGAGGAAGAUGUGAAGCGGCACGCUCUAUCUCUACUGAUCUUCACUCAAAAGCAGCCGCAGGAGCUGUUGCUAUCUCGCUGUGGUGCAGCGCUUUUCCCUCCUCCCUCACUUUCCCACAUGCCCAGAGGCAAAGUGUCUGGCCGACGUCUGAGGAGUGAAGAAGCCACUGGGAGCCACUCCCUCUCACUCACCGAACUAUGGGAGUAAAGAAGCUGCAACAUUUCUGGAGGCUCGUCCAGGUCUUCAGAAGGCAGUAAAGGUCACUGGAAUAGAUUAUUGGAUUCAUAUACUCAAGUAAAGGCCUGGAGAACUGACAGAAUGACUUCUGUUGACCCAGAAGAGCACCCGAAGUACCAAUGUGAAGAGAGACCUUGAGCUGAUGAUCAGAAAAGUGUCCAGUGUCUGUGUACCUAAUUCCACUUGGUCAUGAGACAAGAACCUGGAACUCGCCAAACUGCAGGAGUGAAAGAGCUGUAACACUCCCUUCUCCUCACUGAACUACAGGAAUGAAGAAGCCACUGGGUGUCUCUCCCUUCUGCUCGCUGAACUAUGGGACUAAAGAAGCUGCAACAUCAGCAUCUGUUAUUUUUUGACUUUUUAAUAAUAGCCAUUCUGACUGGUGUGAGAUGGUAUCUCAUUGUGGUUUUGAUUUGCAUUUCUGUAAUGAUAAGUGAUGUUGAGAUUAUUUUCAUAUGAUUGUUGGUCACAUAGAUGUCUUCUUUUGAAAAGUGCCUGUUCAUGUCCUUUGCCCACUUUUUAAUGGGGUUGUUUGGACAAUAAACGUUCUUAAAUGUGCUCAACCCUAUAAGUAAUAAGAAAAAAUGCACAUUGAAACACCAUAUGAUACCACUGUUCACCUACCACAAUGGCUAAAAUGAAAGAAAUAAUAACAAAUUUAAACAAGAAUAUGGAGCAACUGGAACUCACACACUGCUGGUUGUAAUGUAAAUUUGCACAAGCACUUCAGAAAACUGUCACUAUCUAUAAAACUGAACAUAUGUAAACCCUUUAUGGAAGGACCUUGAAGAGAGUAAUAGAAAAAGUCUGAAAGCCUAGAAAACUGUGUUAGUAGAUGCCUGUAUUAGUCCACUUUAAAAGUGCUAUAAAGAACUACCUGAGACUGGGUAACUUAUAAAGAAAAGAGGUUUAAUUGACAAGAAGGCAAAGGGGAAGAAAGGCACAUCUUACAUAGCAGCAGAGGAGAGAGAAAGAAGAAGUGCCACACUUCCUCUUUCUUAAAACUAUCUUCUUAAAACACUUCUUAAAACUAUCAGAUCUCAUGAGAACUCUCUUACUAUCAUGAGAACAGCAUGGGGAAAACCGCUGCCAUGAUUCAGUCACCUCCCACCAGGUACCUCCCUAAUAUGUGGGGAUUACAGUUCAAGAUGAGAUUUGAGUGGGAACACAGAGCCAAACCAUAUCACACUGAGAGGUGAAGCCAGCUGGGCUUCUGGGUAGGGUGGGGACUUGGAGAACUUUUCUGUCUAGCUAAAGGAUUGUAAACACACCAAUCAGUGCUCUGUGUCUAGCUAAAGGUUUGUAAAUGCACCAAUGAGCACUCUUUAAAAUGGACCAAUCAGUGCUCUGUAAAAUGGACCAGCAGGUGCUGUAAAGACACAUGCACACAUAUG